UGAGUAUAUAAACUAUAAAUACAUAAUAAUUUUUCUAUUACUGCCUAGAAGCAUUAUUUCUAGCUAUAUUAUAUCAAUCAGCCAAUAACAUGAAUAUGAAUACUGAUGGCAACACUACCUAAUGUUUAUGGUAUUACCAGGAGAAGGGACUAGAGGAUUUGUGAUUUAUCUGUUGCCUUGAUUUAGUGACUCAACUUUCUGUACAUUGAAAGUUGCCUUUAAUAAAAAAAAAAGUAUUUGACUUCUUAUUAUGAAGUCACAGUGGAUGUGAUGUAUGAGAUACAGAUCUUUUAACAGUAGAAUCUUUGUUCAUUUAUGUACUCACUUGGUCACUCACUGAUGACAACUAAUUGUCCUCAGAGCUGUGGCUUGGCAUUGGAAGAACCAUGAUGAACAGACAGAGACUGCCCUCAUAAAACUUACAGGCUCAUGUCAGAACAGACAUUAAGCUAAAUAUUCAGACAAAUAAGUGCAAAAUUGCAACUGCUUUCUGGAGGCUGGAAAGUCUAUGAUCAAGGCACAAGCAGAUUUGGCGUCUGAUGAGGGCUGAUUUCCUGGUUUAUCGAUCAUGCCAUCUCAUUGUGUGGUCACAUGGUGGAAGAGGGAAGGCGGAUGUCCGGGGUCUAUUUUAUUGCCUCCUCCUCUGAUUUACUUGAGCCAGUGUUUGAGUAAACUUCUUGCCUGGAAAAAUUACAGUCACCAAACUAAUUCAGUUACUGUUCAGAAUAAAUACACAGAAUGGCAAAUGGACCUCCCUGGAGUGGCUGGGGCAUUCAAAGUCUCUAUCCUUAUCAUGAAAUACCAAGCUGAACUUGACCCCAAACACGCUCUCAGUUUCCAACUGGAUAUGAAGAUCAUUUAAGAGUCAUGUGUGAGUCAAUUUCAUUGAAAGAGAAGGAACAUUUAAAAACUUUUAAGUCCUUCUGAAUUGCUUAUAUACACAUUUAGCAAUUCAGUGAUGCAGCAGGAUGUGUGCAGACUUGGGUAAUCAAUAUAGCUUUAACUGGACAUGAACUUUCUUGUCCAUUUUCCUCCCUCACACACUAAUUGCUAUAUUUACAAUUAAUUUGUUGCCAAAUAUAUUAAGUGGACAAAUGGGUCACUCUCUGUCUGCAUUUUUCUUACCCAGUCACAAUUCAUCAAGAAAAAAAAAGUUUGGCUGGGAUUCUGAAACUAGCACACUAAGCUAUAAAUGUAUACUUAAGUUUGCAUGUUAGAAUACAUCUUAGCGACACCAUAAAAAGGAGGGAGGGUAAGAGGUGCACACUUGGAAGUAAAAAUGUGACCACAAAGAAAUUGGGAUUACAGCGUUUGAGGAAUGGUGGCAGAACAGUUGGCAUCAGCUCUUGUCUGCCGCAGUAAUCAGGAUAAAGAAGCAAUUUUCCAUGACCCCAAACUAAAAUUGGAGUCUUGCUUUGAGAAACUCAUGCUUACCAGUUCAGAAGCACGUAACAUGCUAUAGAGUUUUUAAGAAUACUAAUUUAUCUCAGAUUAGUGUAUUAUAAAAUAAAAGUGGACAAAUAUCAUAUAUAAAUUAUUUU
rnacentral:lncRNA from 13 species